ACCAGCAGCCAUGUCACCCUGCAACUCACAACUGAUAACCCACUGCAGCCCAUCAGUGUGGGCUUGGCCUGUACCUGAAUGGGAGGCCUUCUGGGAAAGCUAAGGUUGCUGCUG
rnacentral:rRNA from 1 species